GCGCAAUGGACGAAAGUCUGACGCUGCGACGUCGCGUGGAGGAUGAAGGUCUUAGGAUUGUAAACUCCUUUUGUUUCCGAACAAGUUCUGAGUGUAGGAAACGAAUAAGUGCCUGCCAACCACGUGCCAGAAGCAUCGGUAAUACGUGGGACACUAGCGUUAUCCGGAUUUACUGGGCGUAAAGAGAUGCGUAGGCGGCUUGAUAAGUUCUGUGUUAAAGCCUAACGCUCACCGUUAGAAUCGCAUGGAAAACUAUCAAGAUUGAGUCAGGUAGAGAGAAGGGGAAUUCCUGGUGGAGCGGUUAAAUGCGUUGAUAUCAGGAGGAACACCAAUGGCGAAGGCACCUUCUUGGACCUUGACUGACGCUAAGGCUCGAAAGCGUGGGGAGCAAAACGGAUUAGAUACCCGUGUAGUCCACGCUGUAAACGAUCCCUGUUAGAUGUUUGUUCCGAUGUUUGUAAUUCUCGGUUCGCCGAGGAGGACAAAGCGGAAUGAGUGUCGCAGCUAACGCGGUAAACAGGGCGCCUGGGAAGUACGGCCGCAAGGCUAAAACCCAAAGGAAUUGACGGGGACCCGCACAAGCAGUGGAGUGCCUGGUUUAAUUCGAUGAUCAGCGAAGAACCUCACCUGGGCUUGAACUGUAGCUGCAAAUCCCGAGAAAUCGGGACUCUUUCGAAGGUGCUAUAGAGGUGAUGCAUGGCUGUCGUCAGCUCGUGUCGUGAGAUGUAGGGUUAAGU
rnacentral:rRNA from 1 species